rnacentral:tRNA from 1 species
GCACCGAUAGCUCAAUUGGGUAGAGUGCCUGGCUUCGAACCAGGUUGUUAGGGGUUUGAGUCCUCUUCGGUGCA